rnacentral:lncRNA from 10 species
AAUGAAAAAUGCACAUAUCCUUUGGCCCAUCAAAGCACACAAGACGUGCCAGGCACAAGCCUUCAGGCCCACAGCCAUAUCCACCUACGCUGGUCACUACCUAUAUAGAGAUAGUGGUGCAUCCCACGUGAGCAGUUGCUGAGCACCCGCCUUGUACCAGUGCUUGGGCUGGGGACAUGCCCAGAUCUCUCACAUAGUUGCUAUUGUUAAGCUUAUGAACACCUAAUCUUAUUGCUCAGUGGAGAAUACAAUCUAAACGAACAGGUGAAUACAGAAGACAGUGCCAGUCGGAGGUAAGGUCAUGGGAUAGAGUGGUGGGCAGGUGGGGAUUCCCUUAGCUGGGGAGGUUGGGGAGGCUUCCUGGAGGAGGAAAGAUGGGUGGUGAGUUUUUUGUUGUGUUUUUCAGGGUGGCAUUAACACCAGUGUGCCAUAUGGUGGUAUCUAUGUGAAAUCCAUUGUUCCUGGAGGACCAGCUGCCAAGGAAGGGCAGAUCCUACAGGGUGACCGACUCCUGCAGGUGGAUGGAGUGAUUCUGUGCGGCCUCACCCACAAGCAGGCUGU